rnacentral:snRNA from 1 species
GUGCUCACUUUGGUAGCACAUACANUAACAUUGGAACAAGACAGAGGUGGUUAUUAUGGCCUCUGUGUAAGGAUGACACACAGAUCCAUGUAGCGUUCCAUAUUCCC